rnacentral:rRNA from 1 species
GACGGAGGAUGCAAGCGUUAUCCGGAAUGAUUGGGCGUAAAGCGUCCGCAGGUGGCAGUUCAAGUCUGCUGUCAAAGACCGGGGCUUAACUUCGGAAAGGCAGUGGAAACUGAACAGCUAGAGUAUGGUAGGGGCAGAGGGAAUUCCUGGUGUAGCGGUGAAAUGCGUAGAGAUCAGGAAGAACAUCGGUGGCGAAGGCGCUCUGCUGGACCAUAACUGACACUCAGGGACGAAAGCCAGGGGAGCGAACGGG